GUUAUUUGAGGUGGAAGAAUUCGUACCCGUCCACACGCCGAUGGCUUGACAGGGGCAACCCGAGAGAUGCAGGAGAAUGGUACGCCUGCCAAAUAAC
rnacentral:ncRNA from 12 species